GCUGGAGUUCUGGGAGUUACAGCAACAUUUGUUGGAAGAGAAUAAUCAGCUAAUAAACUAUCCGAUAAUGUAAUUCCACUUUCGGUAGCAACUUCACGUGCAACCUCUGAUGCACGUCCAAGUUUAACCACUUGUUGUAACUCUUGAUCAGAAAUCUGUGGUUCAGAAAAAUCUAUUGCAAGUGGAUCUAUAUGUUCCUUAGAAGUAUCAUAAAAUCCUGGAGCAGGACGUUUUACAAAAGAUUUGCAUCAUGUCAAACACGAAAGAAACAAGGAAAGGAUUAAAAAGAAAGUUUAUAUCUCUUGAAGAUAAAAUCGAAAUUCUAAAUCGUUUAGAAGGUGGGGAAAAUCUAUCGUCGGUUGCAAAAUCAACCAAGUUGAAUGAAUCUACAAUUCGAACCCUAAAGAAAAA
rnacentral:lncRNA from 1 species